CGGCAACAGCUCAAAUUUGAAACCUGGCGCUUGCGCCCGGAUUGUAAUUUGUAGAGGAUGCUUCUGGGCAGCGGCCGUUCUAAGUUCCUUGGAACAGGACGUCAUAGAGGGUGAGAAUCCCGUACGUGACCGGCGCGCACCCUCCACGUAGCUCCUUCGACGAGUCGAGUUGUUUGGGAAUGCAGCUCUAAAUGGGAGGUAAAUUUCUUCUAAAGCUAAAUAUUGGCCAGAGACCGAUAGCGCACAAGUAGAGUGAUCGAAAGAUGAAAAGCACUUUGGAAAGAGAGUUAAAAAGCACGUGAAAUUGUUGAAAGGGAAGCGCUUCCCACCAGACUCCGCGGCGGUGUUCCGCCGGUCUUCUGACCGGUCCACUCGCCGCCGUGGGGCCAGCAUCGUCUGGGGCCGCCGGAUAAGACCGCAGGAAUGUAGCUCAUUGAGUGUUAUAGCCUGCGGUGAUGCGGCGCGCCCCGGGCGAGGUCCGCGCUUCGGCAAGGAUGCUGGCGUAAUGGUGGGCAGCGGCCCGUCUUGAAACACGGACCAAGGAGUCUAACAUCUAUGCGAGUGUUCGGGUGUCAAACCCCUACGCGUAAUGAAAGUGAACGGAGGUGGGAGCUUCGGCGCACCAUCGACCGAUCCUGAUGUCCUCGGAUGGAUUUGAGUAAGAGCAUAGCUGUUGGGACCCGAAAGAUGGUGAACUAUGCCUGAAUAGGGUGAAGCCAGAGGAAACUCUGG
rnacentral:rRNA from 1 species